GUUAUUAAAGUGAGAGGAGGAUAUUCAAAAUUGUAUUUUUCCGGUGUAUAUGCUGUUGUUGAUAAGAAGUUCACUGAGGUUCAUCAUGUUUUAAAUUCAGCGAACCAUUAUAUAGAGAAUUGGAAUUGUAUAUCAAAAGGAAUAUUUGAAGCUGUACUUUAUAGUUUAUCUAUUAUCAUUAUCUUAUGACAUACCAGGUAAGAGAAUAGUUACAAGUAUUAUAAUUUUAUUUAAAAGAAUAUUUCAUUGCACAUAGUCAAAAAAAUAUUUUAUUGUAACUGUAUGGUUCUUAAAGUUGAAUUGAAUGUAUUGAAUGUAUGAUAGUUAUUAUAGAAUUAUCUUUUUUAGAUUUUUAAAAUAGGUAAAAAGCGAGAAAACUUGUCUGAAACAAUUUUAGAAAA